UACGUAGGGCGCAAGCGUUAUCCGGAAUUAUUGGGCGUAAAGAGCUCGUAGGCGGUUUGUCGCGUCUGCCGUGAAAGUCCGGGGCUCAACUCCGGAUCUGCGGUGGGUACGGGCAGACUAGAGUGAUGUAGGGGAGACUGGAAUUCCUGGUGUAGCGGUGAAAUGCGCAGAUAUCAGGAGGAACACCAGCGGCGAAGGCGGCGCGUCUGGGCCGGUACUGACACUGAGGAGCGAAAGCGUGGGUAGCAAACAGG
rnacentral:rRNA from 1 species